rnacentral:rRNA from 1 species
GCUAACGGAAGCCUUGGAAGUAACAGUCCGCUACCUAGCAGCGGGCGACGCUCGAUUGAUGCUGGGAAAUGGCCUCUGUAGUAGUCUAACCAGCAGCGGCAGUGUUCGCGGACACGGCCGUUCACAGAUCAUGUUCGGGCGGUCCUGUGAGAUUAUGAUAUGACCGGUCUCGCUCUGCAACGAGCGAGAGCCAUGUUCCGUAGGUACAAAAGGUUUGCCUACCGCAUUGUUCGCAAUGCGCGGUCUGCGCCCGCGGGCGCAGGCAACACCGUUGAAAUGCUGAGCGUGUCGGCGAAAGCCUCACUAUCAGCAGCCGGCGCAUCCGCGCCCGGCUCACAGAUCAUCCGACGGUGACCUCUCGAGGUUAAGAUAUGAUCGGUCCUGGCCCCCGUGGGCCCUGGAGAAAUGGAACCUGCGGAAGGAUCAUUACCGAGAGACGGGGUCUAACCGGUCCCACCUCUUCACCCCUGUUUACCUAAUAAAUGUUGCUUCGGCGGGCCCGAGCUGGCAAUUGCGUUGGCCAGUGCCCGCCAGAGGCCCUUCAAACUCUGUGAUUAGUGUCGUCCGAGUACAAACAAUCGUUAAAACUUUCAACAACGGAUCUCUUGGUUCCGGCGUCGAUGAAGAACGCAGCGAAAUGCGAAAAGUAAUGUGAAUUGCAGAAUUCAGUGAAUCAUCGAAUCUUUGAACGCACAUUGCGCCCUUUGGUAUUCCGAAGGGCAUGCCUGUUCGAGCGUCAUUGCACCCCUCAAGCAUUGCUUGGUAUUGAGCUUCGCCCCCGCGGCGGGCCCGAAUUACAGUGGCGGUCCAGCGAGACUUCAAGCGUAGCAAGAUUAUCCACAUCCCGCUUUCGAAGCCUAUCUCGCUGCGCGCCGGCCAGACAACCCCAUACACUCCAAUGAUGACCUC